rfam:Treponema succinifaciens DSM 2489, complete genome.
GGGAGAUUAGCUCAACUGGAUAGAGCGUCGGCCUCCGGAGCCGAAGGUUGUGGGUUCGAAUCCCGUAUCUCUCA